GGGAGGAAGAAGUUCCCUUCCCCAUUUCUAUCCCCCGAAAGCUGUUUGUCUGAGCCCUCUAGGGCAGGCAGCCAUCGCCCAGCGCAGCAGAGCAGGGUGAGAAGUCCUUUUUAGGCAAGAUAUUAAAAGGAGUUGGCUGAGCAGAUCUAAAACCCUUGGUCAACAGGGCGGGGCCAGCCCCGGGGCAGAAGUAUUACUUCACAGUUGCAUCGGCUUCCUGUGGCUGCCAAUAGAGGCGGCAUCUGGCAGCCAGCCCACCGCAGAGAAGAGGGAACUCCGCAGAGAAGAAACUAGCAACGAGGCCCCAAAGGUGGAAGUGCAGCCUGAGAAACUUGAGCCAGCCCGGGACUGUGCCGGCCUUGCCACUCACUCUGCAGGGUGUGGCGUGCAGGACCCCUCCGGCUUCACAAGACUGAUAUGCCUCCUGUGACAGAGAAACGGAAGCCCAAGGAGGUGAAAUAACUUGCCCCGGGACGCACAAGCAGGAAACAGAGGAGCCAGGAUUCAAACCCCCUGUGUGGCCAUCCCUGGAGCCCAGACUCUGACCGCAGCAACUUCAGCUUUCAAGUGAAAAUCAAGAUGAUGAGGUAAAGAUACACUGGCCAUAUGGACAAAUCCUCUUGUUUUACAAAAGAAACUAAGGCCCAGAAAUAGACUUUGGAGAUUCCUUUGCUGCAGUCAUUGGGAUGGGAAAGUGAAUGUCCUGCUGCUGAGAAUAUCACAAUGGAUCUGAAAAACUGGGCUUCCAACAUGUAAAACCAGUUUCAAGUUUUCUUUCAUUAGGGCUUCUUAAUGUGUUGGUUUUAUUCCACAAUCAAGUGAUGCUUUAAAUCUUUCAGGCACAGGUUAAUAAAAGUCAUUUUUUCCUCUUG